UUAUUUUAAGUUAAUAGUGUACUGGUUAUAACUAAUAUCAAAUCUUUACUAAUACUUGAUUUCUUUUUAUGAUGGUUGACUUUGCGAGAACUAACGGAGCAUUAGUGUCAAGAAUGGGCUGAGAUUCGAAUUCAGUCGGUUUUUCGCUCUUUUUUGACAAAAAGGGAUCAAGAUCGGGACCGUCCAUUUGACUUCACACGGAUCACCAUCUGCUUUCUCUCUCAAUGCUCACACAUCUGACAAAAAGGGAUGCCAAAAGCAGGGAAGUACAAUCUACAGGAAAAAGCAACACUUUACUUUUGUGUGAAAGACAGCUUGCUUGCUGCAGUCUCUAUAAUAUACCAACACUCUUCCAUACACUGUUUGAAAGACAGCACUGCUUCCUUCAGUCUCUAUAAAUAAUCCAGAGAUAUCUACACUCUACUCACACUUUACAAACUCUCAACUACACUCAACUGAAAUUAAUAUAUCAACUCUUUGCAUUCGGAUCUUGCGUUGUUUCUCGGCUCUCACAUCAAGGUUUUAAAAUUUUUGUCGGCUUUUCACAUCUCCCUCUUGCAUUGUUGUAAGUUCUUUCAAAUAUGACAUAGUGAAAGGAUAAAUUGUUUUUGUAGUUUUGAUUUUACUUUGUUCUGUUAUAUUUUGAUCUUUUCCUUCA